rnacentral:rRNA from 1 species
CUUGGUCAUUUAGAGGAAGUAAAGGUCGUAACAAGGUUUCCGUAGGUGCACCUGCGGAAGGAUCAUUAACAAUUGUCCAUUUACCUUUGCAUAUGGAUGGUUAAAAUCCAUAUCCACCUUCGUGUGCACAUCAUCGACAUGUUUGCUUUGGCAGUUUGCAGGGAGAUCCUUUACCGUUUCUCCGUGGGAGGGAAAGGGGAGCGCGAGAGAGGAGAAUAGGAGAUCCUUCUCCUUGCCUUUUCUCACCUCCCUUCUUCCUCCGGCGCUGCCAGAGUUUUUUUUUCCUUUCACGUUGACAAACUUUUCUUGCUUUUUCUCGAAGCAAGCGUGAAAACAUCAAUGUUUUUGGACAACCAAAAAAUAAAUUGAAUACAACUUUCAACAACGGAUCUCUUGGCUCUCGCAUCGAUGAAGAACGCAGCGAAAUGCGAUAAGUAAUGUGAAUUGCAGACCUCAGUGAAUCAUCGAAUCUUUGAACGCAUAUUGCACUCUCUGGUAUUCCGGAGAGUAUGCCUGUUUCAGUAUCAGUAAACACCAUCAAACACCUCCAAGAGCGGGGUUGUUUGGAUUUGAGUGUUGCCGAGAAAACUUACCCUUUUUGCGGCCCGCUCGAAAUGCAAGUACACAGGACAGGGAUCUCCCGAGGUGUGAAACAAAAAAAGCGUCGUAGUUGACUUGAUCGUCUUCUUUCGCUGAAAAAGAACGCCCGGUUUUUGGGACCUUUGCUGUGCAAAUUCGCAGGAAGAUAAGGAAUAUUCUCUAUCACUUCUUGAUCUGAAAUCAGGUAGGACUACCCGCUGAACUUAAGCAUAUCAAUAAGCGGAGGAAAAGAAACUAACAAGGAUUCCCCUAGUAACGGCGAGUGAAGCGGGAAGAGCUCAAAUUUAGAAUCUCACUGGUCUCCAGUGCGAGUUGUAGUUUAUAGAAGUGUUUUCGGUGGACGCCUGGGUAUAAGUCCUUUGGAACAGGGCAUCAUAGAGGGUGAGAAUCCCGUCCAUGACCCAGAGUUGGUCACUAUGUGAUACACUUUCGAAGAGUCAGGUUGUUUGGGAAUGCAGCCUAAAAUGGGUGGUAAAUGCCAUCUAAAGCUAAAUAUUGGCGAGAGACCGAUAGCGAACAAGUACCGUGAGGGAAAGAUGAAAAGAACUUUGAAAAGAGAGUUAAACAGUACGUGAAAUUGUUGAAAGGGAAACGUUUGAAACCAGCGAUGCUUGCGGGUGAUCACUCCUGGUGCUCUCACCCGUCGGCAAGUCAGCGUCAGUUUUGGUCGCCGGAAAAAGAAUCAAGGGAAUGUGGCUUCCUCUCGGGAGUGUUAUAGCCCUGGUUCGUACGGUGACUGGGACUGAGGUCUGCAGUCAAAUCCUGGAGGCACGGCUGCUGGGGAUAGAUCGGUGCUAGACAGCUUGCUGACUGGGGCUGAUUCUGUCUCCACACGGUCGGAGGUCUCUCAAAUUGGCUUAGGUCGCUGACUUAAUGGUUUAAAAUGACCCGUCUUGAAACACGGACC